CUACGGGUGGCUCCAGUGGGGAAUAUUGCACAAUGGGCGCAAGCCUGAUGCAGCCAUGCCGCGUGUAUGAAGAAGGCCUUCGGGUUGUAAAGUACUUUCAGCGGGGAGGAAGGGAGUAAAGUUAAUACCUUUGCUCAUUGACGUUACCCGCAGAAGAAGCACCGGCUAACUCCGUGCCAGCAGCCGCGGUAAUACGGAGGGUGCAAGCGUUAGUCGGAAUUACUGGGCGUAAAGCGCACGCAGGCGGUUUGUUAAGUCAGAUGUGAAAUCCCCGGGCUCAACCUGGGAACUGCAUCUGAUACUGGCAAGCUUGAGUCUCGUAGAGGGGGGUAGAAUUCCAGGUGUAGCGGUGAAAUGCGUAGAGAUCUGGAGGAAUACCGGUGGCGAAGGCGGCCCCCUGGACGAAGGCUGACGCUCAGGUGCGGAAGCGUGGGGAGCAAACAGGAUUAGAUACCCCCGUAGUC
rnacentral:rRNA from 1 species